rnacentral:rRNA from 1 species
CCUGGUUGAUUCUGCCAGUAGUCAUAUGUUUGUCUUAAAGAUUAAGCCAUGCAUGUCUAUAAGCAAUUAUACAGCGAAACUGAAUGGCUCAUUAAAUCAGUUAUCGUUUAUUUGAUAGCACCUUACUACAUGGACAACCGUGGUAAUUCUAGAGCUAAUAUACAAAACCCGACUUCUAGUGUAUUUAUUAGAUUAAAACCAAAGUUUUCGGGGCUCACUGGUGAUUCAUGGACUUCGAAUCGCACGGCCUGCGCCGGCGAUGGUUCAUUCAAAUUUCUGCCCUAUCAACUUUCGACGGCUGGUCUUGCCAGCCGGUGACACAACGGGCAACGGAGGGUUGUUCGACCCCGGAGAAACGCCUGAGAAACGCGCCAUAUCCAAGGAAGGUAGCAGGCGCGCAAUCACCCAAGCCGACACGGCGAGGUAGUACGGAAAUACUGAUACAGGCUCUUGGGUCUUAGUAAUUGAACAGUACAAUAAAUCUCCAACGAGGAACAAUUGAGGGCAGCUGGUGUGCAGCCGCGGUAAUUCCAGCCCAAUAGCGUAUACAAAAGUUGCUGCAGUUAAAAGCCAGCUGAACCUGGGCCCGGCUGGCCGGUCCGCCCCACCGCGCACUGGUCCGGCGGCCCUUCCUCUGGGGAACCGCAUGCCCACCACCGCGUGUCGGGGAACCAGGACUUUACUUUGAAAAUUAGAGGUUCAAAGCAGGCUCUAUGCUCGAAUACAUUAGCAUGGAAUAACAGAAUAGACGUGUAGUCUCAUUUUGUUGGUUUCUAGGACCGCCGUAAUGAUUUCAUUAGGGACAAGGGCAUCAGUAUUCAAAUUGUCAGAGGUGAAAUUCUUGGAUUUAUUGAAGACUAACCAUCAAGAAAAGCAUUUGCCAAGGAUGUUUUCAUUAAUCAGAACGAAGUUAGAUCGAAGACGAUCAGAUACCGUCAGUCUUAACCAUAAACUAUGCCGACUGGACGGUGUUAUUUCGACCCGUUCGGCACCUUUACACGAAAGUACAAGUUUCUGGGUUCUGGGGGUAUGGUCGGGCUGAAACUAAAGAAAUUGACGGAAGGGCACCACUAGGGGUGGAGCCAGGCUUAAUUCUGACUCCAACACGGGGAAACUCACCCAGGUCCAGACAUGAAAAGGAUUGACAGAUUGAGAGCUCUUUCUUGAUUUUAUGGGUGGUGGUGCAUGGCCGUUCUUAGUUGCAGGAGUGAUUUGUCUGCUUAAUUGCGAUAACGAACGAGACCUUAACCUGCUAAAUAGCCCGCGUCGCUUUGGCGGCGCGCCGGCUUCUUAGAGGGACCAUCGGCUCAAGCCGAU